rnacentral:rRNA from 1 species
UUGAACGCUGGCGGCAUGCUUUACACAUGCAAGUCGAACGGUAACAGGCCUUCGGGUGCUGACGAGUGGCGAACGGGUGAGUAAUGCAUCGGAACGUACCCAGAGGUGGGGGAUAACGCAGCGAAAGCUGUGCUAAUACCGCAUGUGAUCUGAGGAUGAAAGCGGGGGACCGAGCAGCAAUGUUUGGCCUCGCGCCUUUGGAGCGGCCGAUGUCGGAUUAGCUAGUUGGUGGGGUAAAGGCCUACCAAGGCGACGAUCCGUAGCUGGUCUGAGAGGACGACCAGCCACACUGGGACUGAGACACGGCCCAGACUCCUACGGGAGGCAGCAGUGGGGAACUUUGGACAAUGGGCGCAAGCCUGAUCCAGCAAUGCCGCGUGCGGGAAGAAGGCCUUCGGGUUGUAAACCGCUUUUGGCAGGAACGAAACGGUGUCCGCUAAUACCGGGCGCUAAUGACGGUACCUGCAGAAUAAGCACCGGCUAACUACGUG